GAUGAAUGCUGGCGGCGUGCCUAACACAUGCAAGUCGAGCGGUAACAGGAGUAGUUUACUACUUGCUGACGAGCGGCGGACGGCUGAGUAACGCGUGGGAACGUGCCCCAAAGUGAGGAAUAACUGCCCGAAAGGGUAGCUAAUACCGCAUAUGAUCUUCGGAUUAAAGGAUUUAUCCGCUUUGGGAGCGGCCCGCGUCGGAUUAGGUAGUUGGUGAGGUAAUGGCUCACCAAGCCCACGAUCCGUAGCUGGUCUGAGAGGAUGAUCAGCCAGACUGGAACUGAGACACGGUCCAGACUCCUACGGGAGGCAGCAGUGAGGAAUCUUCCACAAUGGGCGAAAGCCUGAUGGAGCAACGCCGCGUGCAGGAUGAAGGCCUUCGGGUCGUAAACUGCUUUUAUAAGUGAAGAAUAUGACGGUAGCUUAUGAAUAAGCACCGGCUAACUACGUGCCAGCCGCCGCAGUAA
rnacentral:rRNA from 1 species